rnacentral:pre_miRNA from 1 species
CUACCCCGCCGCCACCCAUAGCUAGGAGACUGGAGCGAGAAAACCAGAAAUUUCUGGUGGCAAUACCCUCUUGCUCCAGUCUCCUAGCUAUGGGUGGCGGCGGGGAAG